UACGUAGGUCCCGAGCGUUGUCCGGAAUCACUGGGCGUAAAGCGCGCGUAGGCGGUCCGUUAAGUCUCAUGUGAAAUCCCUCGGCUCAACCGAGGAAUUGCGCGAGAUACUGGCGGGCUAGAGAUCGGUAGGGGUGAGUGGAACUCCAGGUGGAGCGGUGAAAUGCGUAGAUAUCUGGAGGAACACCGGUGGCGAAAGCGGCUCACUGGACCGAUACUGACGCUGAGGUGCGAAAGCUAGGGUAGCAAACGGG
rnacentral:rRNA from 1 species